GGUCAAAUUCCAAGAAAUGGAUCUGAGCAUGAGCCAAAAGAACAGAAGGAUCUGCUUUCACCAAGUUCACUCAUCCUUGAUACUCCAUUACAAGUGAAAUCAACCAGCCAAGUAAUACUUAAUAAAAUGGCAGAAAGCAGCAAAAAUCCCAGCACCAAUGGACCAAAACCCUGUGACAAAUGGGUGUCACUAAAGCAACCAGACUCAAUGUUUUUAUUCUCCGCUUCAAAGCUGACCCCUGCAAAGAAUCCAGACGCAACCACACUGAAUUAUUUUUCAAACAUGGUAACAGCUGCUCUUAAAAUGCACAUGACAAAACAAUUUGUGGCCUCGCGGUUGAUAUCUGACUCCGUGCAUAGAAUUGUCUCAGCGAGGGACGGACUAGAAAGCAAAUCAAUUUUUCACACCAAAUCAAGUAAAGAGCGUCAAAUUAAACCAACGUUCCAAACCUCACCAACAAGUUUCCUUCAUCAUCUGAAUAAAAGUGACCUUUCUUUGGCCGCUCAAAACUUUUCAUCUUUACUCAAAACGUCCCAUCUUUGUACCAAAGGAGCCAGAACAUCUAAUAUCUCUGUGAUGGAGAAACGUAACAGAAUGGAUCAUUUUCCAGUUUGGCUGAGUGAAUUGAUGGCCUUUAGUACUGCCUCAUUAACCAACGUUGAGGAAGCAACUACAGCGAGUGAUAAGCGAAUGUUCAUGAAACAGACUCAAAGUUCACUUGCUGCUCCCCGAACCCUUUCACCUCAAGAAGAUGCUUCAAAACAGCUCGAUCAGUUUGACGAAUUAUCUACAGCGGCGCCUCUUCCACCUCUGACAAAGCUUAAGAAUGUGUUUCAUGUCUUCAAAGUGAACGAUCAUCAGCCUCUACAGCCUCUAAAUCAUUUUCCCUCAGAGAGAUUAAAGCCUUUUGUAUCGGUUCAAGCUCCUCAAUCGAUUCCACCUUCGUUUACAUAUGCAACUGUGAGGAGAUUCACAAAUAUGGAAGACUUUACUAAACUUGACUCUACGAACCAAAACCAAAAAGCCCCAUCUGACAUAUCGGAGAGGCCAAACAUGAUCUCAAACAGAUUAACAAGACACGAAAUGGUAAACACAGCCACAAUCAACAAAAACAUAUCACAUUUUCGCGUUCCCCCAACACAUCAGACUCCUAACAGCU
rnacentral:lncRNA from 1 species